rnacentral:rRNA from 1 species
GAUGAACGCUGGCGGUGUGCCUAAUACAUGCAAGUCGAGCGAACAGAUGAGGAGCUUGCUCCUCUGACGUUAGCGGCGGACGGGUGAGUAACACGUGGAUAACCUACCUAUAAGACUGGGAUAACUUCGGGAAACCGGAGCUAAUACCGGAUAAUAUAUUGAACCGCAUGGUUCAAUAGUGAAAGACGGUUUUGCUGUCACUUAUAGAUGGAUCCGCGCCGCAUUAGCUAGUUGGUAAGGUAACGGCUUACCAAGGCAACGAUGCGUAGCCGACCUGAGAGGGUGAUCGGCCACACUGGAACUGAGACACGGUCCAGACUCCUACGGGAGGCAGCAGUAGGGAAUCUUCCGCAAUGGGCGAAAGCUUGACGGAGCAACGCCGCGUGAGUGAUGAAGGUCUUCGGAUCGUAAAACUCUGUUAUUAGGGAAGAACAAAUGUGUAAGUAACUAUGCACGUCUUGACGGUACCUAAUCAGAAAGCCACGGCUAACUACGUG